GCCUACGGGAGGCAGCAGUCGAGAAUAAUUCACAAUGGGGGCAACCCUGAUGGUGCAACGCCGCGUGGAGGAUGACGGUCUUCGGAUUGUAAACUCCUGUCAUCUGGGAGUAAGGCAUGGUUGUUAAUAGCAAACAUGAUUGAUAGUACCAGAAGAGGAAGGGACGGCUAACUUCGUGCCAGCAGCCGCGGUAAUACGAAGGUCCCAAGCGUUGUUCGGAAUCACUGGGCGUAAAGGGAGCGUAGGCGGCGUGGUAAGUCAGAUGUGAAAUCCCGGGGCUCAACCCCGGAACUGCAUCCGAUACUGCCAUGCUAGAGGAUUGGAGAGGUAGCUGGAAUUCUUGGUGUAGCAGUGAAAUGCGUAGAGAUCAAGAGGAACACUCGUGGCGAAAGCGAGCUACUGGACAAUUCCUGACGCUGAGGCUCGAAGGCUAGGGUAGCGAAAGGGAUUAGAUACCCGCGUAGUCC
rnacentral:rRNA from 1 species